CCUACGGGUGGCAGCAGUGGGGGAUAUUGCACAAUGGGGGAAACCCUGAUGCAGCGACGCCGCGUGGGUGAAGAAGUAUUUCGGUAUGUAAAGCUCUAUCAGCAGGGAAGAAGAAAUGACGGUACGUGAGUAAGACGCAACGGUUAAAAACGUGCCAGCAGCCGCGGUAAUACGUAUGGGGCAAGCGUUAUCCGGAUUAAGUGGGUGUAAAGGGAGCGCAGGCGGCAGGGCAAGCCUGAUGUGAAAGCCCGCGGCUCAACCGUGGGACUGCAUUGGAAACUACCGGGCUGGAGUGCCGGAGAGGUAGGCGGAAUGCCUAGUGUAGCGGUGAAAUGCGUAGAUAUUAGGAGGAACACCAGUGGCGAAGGCGGCCUACUGGACGGUGACUGACGCUGAGGCUCGAAAGCGUGGGGAGCAAACAGGAUUAGAUACCCCAGUAGUC
rnacentral:rRNA from 1 species